rfam:Perkinsus marinus ATCC 50983 gcontig_1104296732352, whole genome shotgun sequence.
GACAGUUUGGCCGAGUGGUCUAAGGCGCUGGCUUAAGGCGCCAGUUCGAAAGGGCGUGGGUUCGAACCCCACAGCUGUCA